rnacentral:rRNA from 1 species
GACGAACGCUGGCGGCGUGCUUAACACAUGCAAGUCGAACGAUGAUGCCCAGCUUGCUGGGUGGAUUAGUGGCGAACGGGUGAGUAACACGUGAGUAACCUGCCCCUGACUCUGGGAUAAGCGUUGGAAACGACGUCUAAUACUGGAUAUGACCGCCGAUCGCAUGGUCUGGUGGUGGAAAGAUUUUUUGGUUGGGGAUGGACUCGCGGCCUAUCAGCUUGUUGGUGAGGUAAUGGCUCACCAAGGCGACGACGGGUAGCCGGCCUGAGAGGGUGACCGGCCACACUGGGACUGAGACACGGCCCAGACUCCUACGGGAGGCAGCAGUGGGGAAUAUUGCACAAUGGGCGAAAGCCUGAUGCAGCAACGCCGCGUGAGGGAUGACGGCCUUCGGGUUGUAAACCUCUUUUAGUAGGGAAGAAGCGUAAGUGACGGUACCUGCAGAAAAAGCACCGGCUAACUACGUGCCAGCAGCCGCGGUAAUACGUAGGGUGCAAGCGUUGUCCCGGAAUUAUUGGGCGUAAAGAGCUCGUAGGCGGUUUGUCGCGUCUGCUGUGAAAUCCCGAGGCUCAACCUCGGGCUUGCAGUGGGUACGGGCAGACUAGAGUGCGGUAGGGGAGAUUGGAAUUCCUGGUGUAGCGGUGGAAUGCGCAGAUAUCAGGAGGAACACCGAUGGCGAAGGCAGAUCUCUGGGCCGUAACUGACGCUGAGGAGCGAAAGCGUGGGGAGCGAACAGGAUUAGAUACCCUGGUAGUCCACGCCGUAAACGUUGGGCGCUAGAUGUAGGGACCUUUCCACGGUUUCUGUGUCGUAGCUAACGCAUUAAGCGCCCCGCCUGGGGAGUACGGCCGCAAGGCUAAAACUCAAAGGAAUUGACGGGGGCCCGCACAAGCGGCGGAGCAUGCGGAUUAAUUCGAUGCAACGCGAAGAACCUUACCAAGGCUUGACAUACACCGGAAACGGCCAGAGAUGGUUGCCCCCUUGUGGUCGGUGUACAGGUGGUGCAUGGUUGUCGUCAGCUCGUGUCGUGAGAUGUUGGGUUAAGUCCCGCAACGAGCGCAACCCUCGUUCUAUGUUGCCAGCGCGUUAUGGCGGGGACUCAUAGGAGACUGCCGGGGUCAACUCGGAGGAAGGUGGGGAUGACGUCAAAUCAUCAUGCCCCUUAUGUCUUGGGCUUCACGCAUGCUACAAUGGCCGGUACAAAGGGCUGCGAUACCGUAAGGUGGAGCGAAUCCCAAAAAGCCGGUCUCAGUUCGGAUUGAGGUCUGCAACUCGACCUCAUGAAGUCGGAGUCGCUAGUAAUCGCAGAUCAGCAACGCUGCGGUGAAUACGUUCCCGGGCCUUGUACACACCGCCCGUCAAGUCAUGAAAGUCGGUAACACCCGAAGCCGGUGGCCUAACCCUUGUGGAAGGAGCCGUCGAAGGUGGGAUCGGUGAUUAGGACUAAGUCGUAACAAG